rnacentral:rRNA from 1 species
GAUGAACGCUGACAGAAUGCUUAACACAUGCAAGUCUUUGGCGAAUCUGUGCUUGCACAGGCUAGCCAAGGCGGACGGGUGAGUAACGCGUAAAGAACUUGCCCUGCAGACAGGGAUAACAGACGGAAACGACUGAUAACACCUGAUACAGUUGCCGGCACGCAUGUGCCUGGCAAUGAAAAGAGAUGCUGCAGGAGAGCUUUGCGUCCUAUUAGCUUGUUGGUGAGGUGACGGCUCACCAAGGCGAUGAUAGGUAGCCGGCCUGAGAGGGUGAACGGCCACAAGGGGACUGAGAUACGGCCCUUACUCCUACGGGAGGCAGCAGUGGGGAAGAGUGGACAAUGGGGGCAACCCUGAUCCAGCAAUUCUGUGUGCACGAAGAAGGUUUUCGGAUUGUAAAGUGCUUUCAGCAGGGAAGAAGAAAGUGACGGUACCUGCAGAAGAAGCGACGGCUAAAUACGUG